CGAAGAGCCUGGCAGUGGGACUUGUCCCUGCCCUGCCACAUGGAAGGACGGGGUCAUUCUGGGGGCCUCGUUCCCAUGCCUGCUCCUCGCUCCAUCUUUCCCCUCUUCUCUCUUCCUGUUUCUGCUUCUUUGGCUCUGCUUUCUCUUGGUUUUGGUGGAGAGUUGAGCUCAUUUCACACAUGUGAUCACUUGAUGUAGUGCAUUCCUAACUUUUCAGGUCUGGGGUGUUAACGACAGCAGGCUCUGUUCUGGCCUUUAGCAGGUAUUUUCUCACCAUUUGAAUUCUUCUGGCGUGUACUUCAAUGCGUUCUUCUAAAGUAUCUUCACUUGCCUUUCUCGCCUUCAAAGGAGCUGGUGCUCAGAGUGAGAAAUAGGAGCAGCACCUUGGUGUGUGAAGUGAAUGGUGAGAGCUAAGCAUCUUCUUACCUGAGGGGUGGAUGGAGCGGGGACAACAAGGGGUUACUGAUCCCUGGUGCUUGGGGAAGAUCCGAUGAUGACUGUUUCUACAGUGGCUUAAGGCAGCUGGCUCCCUGUGCCCCUCUCUUCACCUUCGGGGAGGAAACGUCAUCACCACAGAGCAUGAAUUUGCCCGUGGAGUCUUUCUUCCCUGCUCAUACCCAUGGCUGUGAGGGACCCCAGCUGACCACAGACCUCAUGCCUUUGGCCUGGGGGCAGACAGAAGGAAUGCAAGUGUUUUGCUCCGGCUGUUGACCCUUCUGUGGUCCGGAGGUCAGUUGCCUCUGAUGGGAAACCUAACACUCUGGCUACAUAGUGGGUGAGGUCUGGGCUGAGGGAAGUUUUCUUGGGG
rnacentral:lncRNA from 1 species